rnacentral:rRNA from 1 species
AGAACGAACGCUGGCGGCAUGCCUAAUACAUGCAAGUCGAACGAACACUUCGGUGUUAGUGGCGCACGGGUGCGUAACGCGUGGGAAUCUGCCCUUGGGUUCGGAAUAACAGUUGGAAACGACUGCUAAUACCGGAUGAUAUCGAAAGAUCAAAGAUUUAUCGCCCAGGGAUGAGCCCGCGUAGGAUUAGCUAGUUGGUGAGGUAAAGGCUCACCAAGGCGACGAUCCUUAGCUGGUCUGAGAGGAUGAUCAGCCACACUGGGACUGAGACACGGCCCAGACUCCUACGGGAGGCAGCAGUAGGGAAUAUGGACAAUGGGCGCAAGCCUGAUCCAGCAAUGCCGCGUGAGUGAUGAAGGCCUUAGGGUUGUAAAGCUCUUUACCCGAGUAUGAAUAAUGAACAGUAUCGGGAAGAAGUAACGCCCCGGACUAACUCCGU